AGCGCCCGGCUGCUGGGAACGACCCGUUCCGUGGGUCCCUGGCACCCCAGCGGCAUCCGAGCGCGGAGCGGAGGGCUGCGGACCGCAGGAUCAACUAUGGUGCCUCAAAGAGCAGUGUUUCAUUGUUUUCCAUGGCAAAUAUUCCAUUUUGUACAUGGACCACUCCUUCUUUUUCCACUCAUCUGGUGAUGGACAUUUUGGUUACUUCCAUGUCUUGGUUAUUGUGAAAAUUCCUGUAGUGCAGCUGUUGAAGCCUGUGCCUUCUCGACUCUGGACUUCUCAGGCUCAUCUGUGGUGCCUCAAAGAGCAGUAAUUCAUUGUUCUCCAUGGUGAAUAUUCCAUUGUGUACAUGGACC